rnacentral:rRNA from 1 species
CCCUUAGAUGUCCUGGGCCGCACGCGUGCUACACUGAUGCAUACAGCGAGUACUUUCCAGCUCCGCGAGGCAGCUGGUAAUCAGCAAUAUGCAUCGUGCUGGGGAUAGAUCUUUGGAAUUAUAGAUCUUGACCGAGGAAUUCCUAGUAAGCGCAAGUCAUUAGCUUGCGCUGAUUAAGUCCCUGCCCUUUGUACACACCGCCCGUCGCUCCUACCGAUUUCGAGUGAUUCGGUGAACCUUUUGGACAGCGUCUGUCCUCGUGUCAGAUGCUGAAAGUCAAGUAAACCAUAUCACUUAGAGGAAGGAGAAGUCGUAACA